rnacentral:lncRNA from 1 species
UUUGCGUGAAGUGGUUGCUGGUUUCAGAAAAGCUUGACCCACCGUUGAGGUCCUCCGCGCCGCGUUCCCCCCGUGAGCAUCGUCUUCUUCCUCCACACCUGGAGUCUGUGUUCUGCGAACGUGGUGCUUGUUGGUGUUGAGUAACCCAGGCAUUUUGAGGGUGGUGUUCUCCCUUCGCGUCGACAUUGUCGAGGUUCGUCUUUGAUUGUCGGUGUUGUUAUUUAAUCCUUAAACGUUUUUUAGGUGAUCCGUAAAAAGUAGUGAACAAAAUUGAAGAUUACGGAUCAACUUACGGAUCAACUUGAUCUGUAUGUUUCAUCUUUAAUUUUUAAAAUUGGGAAAUAUUUAAAAAAUAGUGAGUUUUUUUUAAAUUAGGAUUUAGGGUUAGUUGAUUAAGUUUAUAAUACUUUGAAAUUUGGGGGAUUAUUUGUAGAAUACAAUAACAUUUUGAAUUUGGUGUCUUUUUGUUCUGAAAUUUGCAGGUUACUCAUUAAGUUGGUGGAUUGAGUUUCUUUCUCACAAGGUGUUUGUUUGAAGUCUG